AUGCACUGGUCAGGACGAGUGCCAUCAUGUCGAAUAGGCCCUUCAUCCUCAACCUGUAUUGCGACCACUAUGUGCACAACUCGGCGGGGCUCCGCAAAGGGAUGUGCUACAUGCUCGACCGCCGCAGCGACCGUGUCUGCUACGUGUAGUUCCCGCAGCGGUUCGAGGGCAUCGACCCCAAUGAUCGGUACGCCAACCACAACCUCAUCUUCUUCGAUGUCGCCAUGCGCGCCAUGGACGGGCUGCAGGGCCCCAUGUAUGUCGACACAGGCCGCAUCUUCCGCCGCACCGCUCUGUAUGGGUUCAGCCCGCCGCGCGCCACCAAGCACCACGGCUGGCUCGGCAGGAAGAAGAUCAAGUUGUUCCCGAGGAAGCCCACCAUGGGGAAGAAGACGGAUAGUGAGCUGGUCAUGGCGUUUUUGCAAAAGACACCCCGGAUCGAGUAGUAUUCACCCUAGGAUCGACUACGUGGCGGUCAAAGCCUAG
rnacentral:rRNA from 1 species